UGGGCAGGGAGGAAACAGGUUCGUAUUUCUGGAUGGUACCAAACUUAAUCUUUUACGUCUCAUGUAUUUCCAGAAAAACUAAAGUUCUCUGGUGAGGAUUAACUCGGAUCCUAGAUUCCAAUCAGAUGGCAAAACAUAUCCUUUACGCAGUCAGCAUCUACAUAUGUUGGAACUGAAAUGUUUUCUGAUUUGAAGUAUCCCGAAAUAAUCCAUCACUGUAAUUAAUGAGAUACGGAUACCUGAAUCACUUUAACUUGUUGCACCUGUGAUCAUUUUCGUAACAACGAAAUAUCGGAAGUUUUGGAGUAAAUAUUCUUGAUACAAAAACACUUCAUAAAACCGUGUUCAUGCUGAACAAUUGUCGAAUUGAUUGUUUCAGUCGAUUGGUGGUCGGGUGGCGCAAUGGAUAGUGCACUUGCUUUUCACCAAGGCGGCCAGGGUUCGAUUCCCCAAUCGGACGUGAAAAGUGAAAAACUUGGCCUUGUAUUGUAUAGCCUGGACACUGGCGGUCACUAGAGAAAGAUUCACCGGGAUGUGAAGCGGACGAAGAGGAACUGUGAUGUUUAUUUCCAGUUCUGUGUGAUUAAUGAAAUACAAGUAGCUCAUAACAUUCUUGUUUUUUAAGGAAAAUAA